rfam:Capsicum annuum cultivar Zunla-1 chromosome 12, whole genome shotgun sequence
ACUUUAUGGUAAGGGCAUUGCAAAAGUUUUUCAUUAAAUCUCUCCCACACUUUAUAUAGAGGCUCCCCAUUUAUUUGAUGAAAAUUUGUUAUUUUGUCUCAUAAUU